UGUGGGAGCUGGCUUGCCUGCGAUGACGGUGGGUCAGCACCUUAUAAGUGACUGAUACACCGCCAUCGCAGGCAAGCCAGCUCCCACA
rnacentral:misc_RNA from 1 species